rnacentral:rRNA from 1 species
CCUACGGGUGGCAGCAGUGGGGGAUAUUGCACAAUGGGGGAAACCCUGAUGCAGCGACGCCGCGUGGGUGAAGAAGCGCCUCGGCGCGUAAAGCCCUGUCAGCAGGGAAGAAAAUGACGGUACCUGAAGAAGAAGCCCCGGCUAACUACGUGCCAGCCGCCGCGGUAAUACGCAGGGGGCAAGCGUUAUCCGGAUUUACUGGGUGUAAAGGGGGCGCAGACGGCGGUGCAAGCCAGGAGUGAAAGCCCGGGGCCCAACCCCGGGACUGCGCUUGGAACUGCGUGGCUAGAGUGCAGGAGGGGCAGGCGGAAGUCCUGGUGUAGCGGUGAAAUGCGUAGAUAUCAGGAGGAACACCGGUGGCGAAGGCGGCCUGCUGGACUGCAACUGACGUUGAGGCCCGAAAGCGUGGGGAGCAAACAGGAUUAGAUACCCUAGUAGUC